rnacentral:rRNA from 1 species
UACGAAGGGGGCUAGCGUUGCUCGGAAUCACUGGGCGUAAAGCGCACGUAGGCGGCUUCUUAAGUCAGGGGUGAAAUCCUGGAGCUCAACUCCAGAACUGCCUUUGAUACUGAGAAGCUUGAGUCCGGGAGAGGUGAGUGGAACUGCGAGUGUAGAGGUGAAAUUCGUAGAUAUUCGCAAGAACACCAGUGGCGAAGGCUGCUCACUGGCCCGGUACUGACGCUGAGGUGCGAAAGCGUGGGGAGCAAACAGG